rnacentral:rRNA from 1 species
CAAUAGCGUAUAUUAAUGUUGUUGCAGUUAAAAAGCUCGUAGUUGGAUUUUUGGCAGGAAUGGCCGGUCCGAACCUUCGGGUUUGUGUACUCGCGCUUAUUCUAGUCAUCCUCAUAGAGGUCGUGCAUUGCAUUCGUUUGUAGUGUACGGAAUCUAUGUCGUUUACUGUGAAAAAAUUAGAGUGUUUAAAGCAGGCAAUCGCUGUGAAUACGUUAGCAUGGAAUAAUAGGAUAGGACUUUGGUACUAUUUUGUUGGUUUGCAUACCAAAGUAAUGAUUAAUAGGGACAGUUGGGGGUAUUCGUAUUUAAUUGUCAGAGGUGAAAUUCUUGGAUUUAUGAAAGACGAACUACUGCGAAAGCAUUUACCAAGGAUGUUUUCAUUAA